GACGAACGCUGGCGGCGUGCCUAACACAUGCAAGUCGAACGGAAAGGCCCGGUACUUGUGGGGUGCGCAAGUGGCGAACGGGUGAGUGUCACGUGUGUAACAUGUCCUUGUCUGUGGGGGAACUUCAGGGAAAAGGAGCGAAUAUAGGGCAGGAGAUCUUGCUGCAUGGUGGGGAUGGGAGAGAGUCGGCGGUUGGGGAUGGAAUCGCGGCCUAUCAGCUUGUUGGUGGGGUAGUGGCGUAACAAGGCAUCGACGGGUAGCCGGCCUGAGAGGGUGACCGGCCACAUUGGGACUGGGGUGCGGCCCAGACUCCAACGGGAGGCAGCGGUGGAGAAUAUUGCACGAUGGGCGGAAGCCUGAUGCAACAACGCCGCGUGCGGGAUGACGGCUUGCGGGUUGUAAACCGCUUUCGCCUGUGACGCAGAGUGAGUGACGGUAAUUGGUCAAGAAGCACCGGCUAACUACGUG
rnacentral:rRNA from 1 species